rnacentral:rRNA from 1 species
GCUUGCUCCGCUGACGACCGGCGCACGGGUGCGUAACGCGUAUACAUCUACCUUUUGCUGCGGGAUAGCCCAGAGAAAUUUGGAUUAACACCGCAAGUAUAAAGACUUGGCAUCGAGACUUUAUUAAAGGUUACGGCAAAAGAUGAGUAUGCGUUCUAUUAGCUAGAUGGUGUGGUAACGGCACACCAUGGCAACGAUAGAUAGGGGCCCUGAGAGGGGGAUCCCCCACACUGGUACUGAGACACGGACCAGACUCCUACGGGAGGCAGCAGUGAGGAAUAUUGGACAAUGGGCGAGAGCCUGAUCCAGCCAUGCCGCGUGCAGGAAGACUGCCCUAUGGGUUGUAAACUGCUUUUAUACGGGAAGAAACACCGCUACGUGUAGCGGCUUGACGGUACCGUAAGAAUAAGGAUCGGCUAACUCCGUGCCAGCAGCCGCGGUAAUACGGAGGAUCCAAGCGUUAUCCGGAAUCAUUGGGUUUAAAGGGUCCGUAGGUGGAUAAUUAAGUCAGAGGUGAAAUCCUGCAGCUCAACUGUAGAAUUGCCUUUGAUACUGGUUAUCUUGAAUCAUUAUGAAGUAGUUAGAAUAUGUAGUGUAGCGGUGAAAUGCAUAGAUAUUACAUAGAAUACCAAUUGCGAAGGCAGAUUACUAAUAAUGUAUUGACACUGAUGGACGAAAGCGUGGGGAGCGAACAGGAUUAGAUACCCUGGUAGUCCACGCCGUAAACGAUGGAUACUAGCUGUUCGGAUUUAUCUGAGUGGCUAAGCGAAAGUGAUAAGUAUCCCACCUGGGGGAGUACGUUCGCAAGAAUGAAACUCAAAGGAAUUGACGGGGGCCCGCACAAGCGGUGGAGCAUGUGGUUUAAUUCGAUGAUACGCGAGGAACCUUACCAGGGCUUAAA